CACAGCAUAGUACUGAGUUAGCAGGGUCAACAGGCAGCAGUCACUGUCCUCUGCUGUUUGAUUGGCGAGCUACUCUCACUAAGAGCCAAGAAAACCCUUUCUGAUUAAUAUCUUGAUAAACUACAUCUUGUUGUUGUUUUAGUGUUGCUGCCGCUGCUGUGUGCGCGCGUGCGCGUGUGCGUGUGUGUAUUGGGGGGGGGGGUGCUGCUGAAACUCUUUUCAUUGAAUCUUCCCGGAUGGUUGCCCAUUUGAGUGGAAAGUGUUGACUUAUCUAAAGCGGCAUUGAUGAGGAGGCUUCUGGGAUUUUUAUUGUGACGUCACACAACGACCAGCUUUGGUGGUUGCUUCCUUCCCCCCCUUUGAGAAACAUGAGGACAUUAGGCGAGUGAGCAGGAGCCCUGAAGGCGAUGGCAGGAAGAGGAAUUGCCAAGGUGAAUGGAGUCUGAGAACACUAGUUAUUGUAAGGGACAGAGUAUGUAAAAACACUGAAAAGCCCUUCAGCGGACAGUCACCAUUUUGGGACUUCCCACCCCGGUGAGAUCUGGGACUGGACAGCUCUGUUGUAGGGGGCUGUCCUGUGCAGGCCACAGAGACAAUCUUCACAUAAGUUGCCAUCCAAUAAUUGUGUUGAAUAAGAUGAGAAAGAGGAAGGAGGAAAGCCAUCGAGCAGGUCACCAAGAACAGGUUAACCUCGGUGCCAGCUGCUAUCUCAAGGUUCAUGAAGCAAAACGUUACUUCCUGAAGAUGGAGCUACCACAAGGUCCCUUCUUCAGAGGCUGUACCCACCCUGAGCCUGAGCAAUGCCCCCAUAAGUCCUAGGAAAGCCCGGCAUCCACCCUAGAGUUCACUCUAGGAAGCAGUCAUCCAUGCAGGCCUGGACACACUCCUGAACAUUUGGUCAUGGGUAGUGCCUUGAGAGCAACGGUCUUAACAGACUUUCAAAACUCCAGCAUUCUCUGGAAUCCAUCCUUCCUGAGGCUUUUGGAAGGCCAUGUUUCUAAAGGCAGAAGGGUCACUAGGGAACUUUUGGAAGGCCAUGUUUCUAAAGUCCCACGGUCACUAGGGAACAUUGGUUUAGGCUGAAAUAUGUCAUGUUUCACUGAGAUCGGGAAAUAACGGUGAGCCAGAUCCAUACUGUCCUGGUCUCGUGGAUCAAAGAUGAGCCCUGUUGAAGCCAUCUUGCUUAAAUAGUCCUUGGCCUCUUCCGCUGGAGUUGUGGAUUUAGAGUGAGAGGAUACGGAGCAGCUGACAUGGAGGCCUCAUCCAAUCCAGUCUAAGCCUUACUCAGUAAUUGCGGCCCCUGCCUGGACACUGGAGCUUUCAGCUGCUAACCCACCCCACACUAGGUAGGUGGGCUUCGAAGGCGGAGCUCCCCGGCGCCUCAAGGUUUUGUUAACACUGAGAAUUGAAAGACCCGGCGCACCAUAGGAAACAUGCAGGAUGCUUCAAGAUAGGAAACAUGCAGGAUGCUUCCAGACACAAGCUUGACAACGGUGCACAGGAGACUUCCUGCCGGUCCCCAACUGAAAAGAAUGGGAAUUGGCGACAGUUUACAGCUGACUUAUUUCUUAGACUUCAUUUCUAGAGUUACAUUUAGUCAACUUUUAACAAUGAUGAAAAAAACAAUACCACCUGUGUAGCCCUCAAAGAAUAAACCCAGAAGGCUUCCGUACAAAACACACUCACUGUUUCAGUUUUGCAUACAGGGUAUUAAUAGCUUCCCCUUGGCGAGCACACAUGUGUGCAGGCGUUGUCCUGGGCCUUUUGCACACACUGCUUUGCUCUAUAAAGUAGGCAUAUUUAUCUCACAUUGCUGUCAUUUGCCUGAUUGUGUUCAAGGAAGGAAAACCCAAAAUACUACUUAGCAGGAGAGGAGGCGAGAUCACGACCAUCCACAGUGUCAGUUGGGCUGGCAAAGUCUUUACUUAAUGUUAGGGCUCUUGGUUCUCACUUUAGAGAAGUGAAUUAGUGAAAACCAUCAAGAGUUGUGGAGCCUGUCACCCUGGUUUGAACUCUGGCUUCUCUACAGCUGUCACUGGCCCACUUCUCCGGGCUUUCAUUUUUCCAACUGAGAAAUGGAGGUCUGCUCAGCCAACUCCGUUUUUUAUGCUUUGCCUAAAAAGGAGUUCUCACCCAACACUGCUGCAGUGGGAAAUGGCUGACUGCCCCAGCGCUACCGGGCGCAGAGCUCUUUCGGGGGAUGGAAAUGGCGGCGGCACAAGCUUUUCACUUCAAGAUUUGAGGGUUCCGCCUGGCAGCGACUGUCUAGCAUGAAGCUCCUUUCCCAAAAGCAGAUGUCAGAGGAAGGACUCCAUUCUGUACAAGAUCCUCUCGCCGGGGUCAUAUGAUAAGGCAGUCUUAACAGAUAUUUGCAUGGAGGAAGUAUGACAAUUUUCAUAGGCCUUUGGCCGGAAAGAAAUUGUAGUUACACCUAAAAACCUGUAUGCUUUAGGAAGGUAAUUUUUAUCUUUUUCGACAUCUGAACCCUAUCUAAAAUAGGAUAUUAAAACAAGCCUCA
rnacentral:lncRNA from 1 species